CCAACUUUCUAAGUUUGACC
rnacentral:rRNA from 1 species